GAGGUGAAGGUACUGUCAGCCUGUACCGUGUCCAGUAUCGCGGUUUUCUUGCUUCAUCAGCUGUUAUCACUCCCACUUAAAAAUAGUUAUUAGAAAAACGGAAAUCAGUCAUUAAACUGUAUUUCAUCAUGGUAAUAAUGGUAAUGUGGACCAAGUUGAGGAAGUGGAGGAGGUCUGUCUGCCACGUUUAGUGGUGAGAGAUAGAAGGAUCCAGUUGUCAUGCAGUCAGAGGAGGAGUUUUUGAAACGUUAUCAACUGCCAAAGCAGUGCACCAGAAACCUGUUUCAGAAAAUCAGCAGAAAAUUACCCACAGCAAGAGAUGGCAGAGGUUGCAGCUUGUGUUAUGUUGCAUAAUCUAGCCACAACUGAGAAUAUUGAUAUUGCCAAAGAAGAAGACACAUAUGAACUGAGAGCAUGAUGCAGUACACUGCGAAAAUAAUGAUAAUCGUUUAGGGUUUGAUGUCAGAAAAUGUUUGUGAACAAUGGUUUUAGGAUGGCUUAGCAGUCAGAGAAUUUCUGGAUGAAUCCACACUUCCACUUUAAGCAUAUUUCUACUUACUUUAUAUUACCUGUAUAUUAAAAAGAAUUGCUUAUAGUAAAUUGCAGUAAUUAUUUUUGGUAUCAGGAACCGUCAUAUCAAACAUUUACCUUAUCAUUGUUUAUAAGUGAAAUAAGACCUUGUCAGAAACCUU
rnacentral:lncRNA from 1 species